GUCCUCGUGGAGUAAUGCAGCUCGCUCCAACCUAAUAGAUGAGGAGCCAGCUUUUAGGUAGAGAAGGUGGUUCGAGUCCACUCGAGGACA